GAAAUGCGAUAAGUAAUAUGAAUUGCAGAAUUCAGUGAAUCAUCGAAUCUUUGAACGCACCUUGCGCUCCUUGGUAUUCCUUGGAGCAUGCCUGUUUGAGUAUCAUGAAAUCUUCAAAGUAAAUCUUUUGUUAACUCAAUUGGUUUCUACUUUGGUAUUGGAGGUCUUUGCAGCUUCACACCUGCUCCUCUUUGUUCAUUAGCUGGAUCUCAGUGUUAUGCUUGGUUCCACUCGGCGUGAUAAGUUAUCUAUCGCUGAGGACACUGUAAAAGGUGGCCAAGGUAAAUGCAGAUGAACCGCUUCUAAUAGUCCAUUGACUUGGACAAUACUUUUAUGAUCUGAUCUCAAAUCAGGUAGGACUACCCGCUGAACUUAAGC
rnacentral:misc_RNA from 1 species